rnacentral:lncRNA from 1 species
UGAUUGAAUAGAUUAUUAGAGAGAGAAAGGAAAAUAUGUUUUUCUAUUUGGAGACACAGAGGUGGGUGGUACGGAUAGGAUAGAUUUAGAGGUAUUUAUAACGUUUUUAGAGUGAAGGAGACAACCGUGGCUAGGCUUUUUUAGAAAGAGAGGAAACAGGCGGCAGGAGGAAGGGGAAGAGAAGAAAAGAGGAAAGGGAAAGAAAGAGGAAGCCGCUACCAGAAAGGCCUAGACCGGACAAGGCGACGGCGACCGAGUAAGGGAGAUAGGGUUUGGAGAAAGGGGUUGGCUGCCGCUGGUUGGGGUCAGUGGGAAAAGAAAAAGAGAGCAAAAAUGAAGAAAAG